UGAGGGUAGUUCUGUCUGUCACCACUUCUUCUGUAGUAAGCAAUACUACCUGUAAGUAGGUAGAUGCCCAAAGCAUUGCUGUGGGUUUCUCCCGUUGCUGCCUUCACCCCAGCCACAUCCAGACUCACUGGUGCCUCUGCUCUUCUAUCUGAACAUCUUUGCUCCUGGCAAGAGCUCUCCUGUGCUGCCUGAUUUCUGUCCUUUCGACAGGCCACCUGAACUCCAGGCUUACCUCCUUCCUGACCAGGGUGUAUCCGCAUCACCUCUCUGAAAUUAACUUCUGACCCAAAUGAGCUGUCAUUUCCCAGAAUCUCUGCAGCUUUGGAGGUGGGAGUGGUUCUUGGGAGUGAGAGUCUAAGAAGAUUUCUUUUUUAUAUAAUUUCCAGGAACUGCUCAUCUGUGCUACAGACGCAUGCUGCUCAACCUUCAGUGUGUCAUGCUGCUCUUCAGAAUGACUUCCAGUGCAGUACUGAUGUUCUGAUGACUACAGUCAUGGUCUGCUGCUGCUGCAGUAGGUCUACUCUUGCUAAACUGAAGAAGACUGUGUCUGCUGGGUCAUCAAAGAUGGAUGUUGCUGCCUACACGUGCUAACUCCAGCUGACAAGGAGGGAAAAAAGGGAGCUUCAAUGAGUUACUACAGCUUUGAUCCUCUGUAGAAAAAAGGAGAUGCUCUGCCAUAACUCUGAGCAGAAUCAGCAGGAGUUCCAGGAACUGCUCAUCUGUGCUACAGACGCAUGCUGCUCAACCUUCAGUGUGUCAUGCUGCUCUUCAGAAUGACUUCCAGUGCAGAACUGAUGUUCUGACGACUACAGUCAUGGUCUGCUGCUGCUGCAGGACUUGAACCACAGGGCCUGUUGCAGGGGUUGGAGCAACCACAUGGCCUAUAUGGAGAGUGGACAUUGUAUGGAAUAUAAUUUAAGAAUUACACCUGGCAUGUUUAUCCUAUGGACCACAUGAGGCCCAGCCCAGCUUGUACUGCAGCCAUCCAUUGCCCUGAGCCAUUAUGGCAGCAGCUCUGCCCCACUGAGUGGCCUAUGUAUAUGCAGCCCAAGACAAUUCUUCACUCAAUGAGGCCCAGGCAAGCCAAAGGGUUGGACACGUGUAUAUUACACUGUAUAUAUAUAUGACACUCUUAAAAUAUUGUCUAGCAUACAGAAUACUUGUGAUCACUUAUCCUUUCUUUAAAAUACGUGUGAAAUUGGACUGGGACAAUAAGAGAGAAAAAAAUCAUGGGAAAGAUGCUCCAGAGCCUUCACUCAUUUUGCAAACCAAGCUUCAAGUCCGAUCCCUGUGCUUUUGACUGGGUCUUUCUUCUCUUCAAGAGUAUUUUUCAAGGAAGCUCACAAGGUGGUGCUGUAUCAUCUUCCAUGUCAGAGCUAGGAAAACUGUUUCAUAUUGACCGAAACCAGAGCGGAACAGAUUCACCCUUCCAGACUGAUUUCAACCCACCUGGUUUGGUUUUGGUUUAGUGUUUUGGUGGUUUUCAUUUUGUUUUUAUUUUCUUUUUCUUCUUCUUUUCCUUCUUCUUCUUUGAGCCUCUGAGAAUUGACUGUUGGUACAGCUCUGAGGAAAGGGAUUUACUCUUCCUGCUAACCUCUGAAGUGAUGAUGUACAAGAAAUUAAAUCUGAUUUUUCUUGGGAUACACCCAGAAAACUAUGAAGGUUUCUCCUAUCUAGGCAUACUCCUAAAUAUUUGCUUAGUACUCUCUUAUUUUAGUUACUUAAGGGAAAUGCAGUGCUGAAUAACUGCAGGACAGAAAGUUACAUCACAGUCAAUAGAAAAAAAUGCUGUGCACGUUUGGAUAGCUAUAGGGUUGAAAUUUUGGUGGGGGGAAGAAUGUGGACAGACUAUAGUUUAAACUUGUUUCUUCUCUUCAAAAUGUAUUUGGCACAUCCCAAAGAAUUGACACAUCUACAAAGAAUCUGCUUUGUCAUUGGAUGCUCUGAACAUGCGGGUUGCACGCAAAGUAUUUAAUUCCUUGCAACACACUCAUAUCUGGAGAAAAUUCUUUCACUUCUCUCUCCUGGGGUAAUUUCAAAUUAUUUCACUCCAUGGGCUUCUUUUCAGUUAAUUUUAGUAUAAUCUUACUCUUUUAACACUUUUCUCAGUGCUGCUCCCCCCCGCCUUCUAAUUCAGCUGAUUUGUUAUGUGCUAACAGCUACUUUGAAAGAAGAAAAUUCAAGUAUUAUGAGUGAGGCAUAUCUAUUGCUCUCUAAAAAAGGGAGGAGGCCAUAUAUGCUCAUAGAAGACACUAAACCGCUUAUAUAAUUAUUGCUGUUUUAAUGUAACUAUUAAUGUACCGCAUCUCAUGUCAUAUCUUGCAUUUUGGUCCUAUGAGGUUAUAGUUAAAGCAGCCAAAUAGUAUGAGAGGAAAAAUGCUCUUUGUAAACUCUUCAGAAAAGGAGGAAAAUCAGCCCAGAAAUGUUUCUAGGUUCAUUCCUUUCUAGAUGUGUAAACAAGAGGGAGCCCACAUGGGUAUUGUGAGGUUUGUGCUUACUAAAGCAGCUAUGACUGAUAAAAGCCUUUCCAGUCUGGAGAUGCUGUGCAGCUUGCUCCUGGAGAUGUGUGGGCUGAAUUUUGGCGUUGAUAGUUCUGCUUUUCAGUGGCAUAAAGAAAACACUUUGGUUAUAAUAAUUAAAUAUUCUUCUGGAAUGCGUUUUGUGUAUGAAGAGCUUUUUUCCCAAGAAACGCUAAGGGAAGAAUGAUUCUUUCCUACCAGGCAGCUCUGGGUCCAAACAUGCCUGCAGAGCACCUGAGGUAAAAUCAUUUAUGUCUAAAACUGUGAAUCACCAUGAUCCACAGCUGUUGCUAAAGAAUGGCCCCGCUUAUGGACCUGCCAUGUUUCUGUCCCUUGUUCUUAUGAGAAAUGCAAGCUGAUCUCCUAGAAACCUUCCCAGCAGGUUCUGGUUCCAGGAGCCCCCAUCUUUCAACAAUGGAGGAAAAGAUGUCUAGGCUUGAAAAGAUUUUUCUUUAAGUCCUAACCUGUUUCUAAUCAUGAUUACAUAUGCAUCACAAAGGCUCUAAUAGAGAUCAAAGAGGAUCUAUAAAAUGGCGACUUCCUGGUUUUGAUUUGCAAUUUUCUCUCUGCUUCACUUUUCUUCACAUAUUAUAUUGCUUUUUUUAAAUAAUUCCCAGUGGGAGACUCAUCAUCUGUGAGAUACCUGCCAAGAGCCCACCAGUUAAGAUGGAGGGUGCAGUGGAAUUGCCAGGUCACAGCCUGAACCAAUGGUUGAUCACCAGGUGAGAAGGUGUGGCUAAUCCAGGGAGCUCAGGUGCAAGCAGUGCACCUCACUGAUUGUAAUGGGUGGAGCCAGGAUACACCCCUCCUCACCCCUCAUUUAAGGGUUAGCAGCU